rnacentral:lncRNA from 1 species
GGGAUAAUAAUUCCUUUAUGGAGAAAUGUUAUUUAUUUGUUGAUAGUUUUUUUCACAGAAAUUUGUUGGAUUUACAGUGUCUUAGUCUAAGGAAAAAAAUAUUUUGUUAGUGAAAUAAAGUAUUACAAAACAUAUGGCCUGAUAGAUGUCUUUUUGGCAAAACUCUAUCAGAUUUGCAACAAUGUUUAUAUCUUAACACCUGACAGUGAAAUAAAAUGUACUAAAUGUUUUAGAAAAACAGGUAUAAUUUUGUUCCAUGUUUUCUAUUAUGGAAGGAUGAAUCUGAUCUAUUGGAUUUAAACUAAAACUCCAUCCAUCCAGAAAGACAAUUCAUUUUUGUUUGUUCUAAGUCAAACUAUUCUAAGUUUGAUCAAGUUUAUAGAGAAGGCCAAUAAUAUUUAGGAUGCCAAAUGAUCCUAAUUAGAUUCAUUAUGAAAUAUAUUUUCAUAAUAAGUGAUGUGUUAGAUGUUAAUACUCUUCUCUAUCAACUUUAUCAAACUUAGAAUAGUUUGACUUAGGACAAAUCAAAAUGCGUUAUGUUUCUAGACGGAGUUAGUAGUUACGAAAAUGACAUAUUUUAUGAGUGAUAAUAUAUCAAUAAAUAAAUAGAAUGACCCUUUUUAGUACUGUAUAGAGACUAAUGCUUGUUCGGGGAUUUGUUGGGGUUAUGUUGUUUUCCUGGUCUAGGUCAUUCAACGUUUUUUUUUCUCUUUGUGGUGAGGAAUCCUAAGUAUUGAAAAUUAAAUAAAAUUUGGAUGGCUAAUUAACGAAGUGGUUUAUAUACAUUCUUUCUCUCUUUUUUCUAGCACUUAUUAGACCACUCCAUUUUCUAGAUUGGUAUUCUAUCUUGUCCUACUUACACUUGAAGGCAGCACAUCUGUUAAUAUAUAUUUUUUACUUUAUUACAAUCAAGAAGGAUCCUGAUCCUCCAGUGCAAUGUGUUCAGCAAGCAACAAAAAUACCACCCGUCACGCCAUUUCAGGCUCCGAGAAGCCCAUGGCAGCCAUGCAAAGCACCUG